GGAGGUACUCGAGUGGCGAACGGGUGAGUAACACGUGAGUAACCUGCCCUUGACUUUGGGAUAACUUCAGGAAACUGGGGCUAAUACCGGAUAGGAGCUCCUGCUGCAUGGUGGGGGUUGGAAAGUUUCGGCGGUUGGGGAUGGACUCGCGGCUUAUCAGCUUGUUGGUGGGGUAGUGGCUUACCAAGGCUUUGACGGGUAGCCGGCCUGAGAGGGUGACCGGCCACAUUGGGACUGAGAUACGGCCCAG
rnacentral:rRNA from 1 species